CGCCUGCUUUGCACGCAGGAGGUCAGGAGUUCGAUCCUCCUUGGCUCCACCACUCCCAAGACGAAAAUCGCCGAAAGCUCAGAAAUGAGUGUUUACCGCCAGGUGCCGUGAGGCAGUUGUAGCGGGUGAAACAUUGAUUUCUGGUCUUUGUAUCAGACUGUUCUUUAAAAAUUUGGGUAUGUGAUAGAAGUAGACUGGUUAGUCGUUUUCACUGGCGGCUAAUCAAGUCAAGGUAAAUUUGCGAGUUCAAGCGCAAGUUUUCGGCGAAUGUCGUAUUUACACGAAUAUAACCAGAUUGCUUGGGGUUAUAUGGUCAAGUGAAUAAGCGCAUACGGUGGAUGCCUUGGCAGUCAGAGGCGAUGAAAGACGUGGUAGCCUGCGAUAAGCUUCGGGGAGUCGGCAAACAGACUUUGAUCCGGAGAUUUCUGAAUGGGGGAACCCACCCAGCAUAAGCUGGGUAUCUUGUACUGAAUACAUAGGUGCAAGAGGCGAACCAGGGG
rnacentral:rRNA from 1 species